GGAAUAUUGGACAAUGGGCGAAAGCCUGAUCCAGCAAUGCCGCGUGAGUGAUGAAGGUCUUAGGAUUGUAAAAUUCUUUCACCGGGGACGAUAAUGACGGUACCCGGAGAAGAAGCCCCGGCUAACUUCGUGCCAGCAGCCGCGGUAAUACGAAGGGGGCUAGCGUUGCUCGGAAUUACUGGGCGUAAAGGGCGCGUAGGCGGACAGUUUAGUCAGAGGUGAAAGCCCAGGGCUCAACCUUGGAAUUGCCUUUGAUACUGGCUGUCUUGAGUUCGGGAGAGGUGAGUGGAAUGCCGAGUGUAGAGGUGAAAUUCGUAGAUAUUCGGCGGAACACCAGUGGCGAAGGCGACUCACUGGCCCGAUACUGACGCUGAGGCGCGAAAGCGUGGGGAGCAA
rnacentral:rRNA from 1 species